rnacentral:rRNA from 1 species
CCAAUAGCGUAUAUUAAAGUUGUUGCAGUUAAAAAGCUCGUAGUUGAAUUUCGGGGUCAGUAGGUUGGUCAUGCCACUGGUAUGUACUGGUCUCACUGAUUCCUCCUUCCUGAUGAGCCGUAAUGCCAUUAAUUUGGUGUUGCGAGGAAUCUGGACUGCUACUUUGAAAAAAUUAGAGUGUUUAAAGCAGGCUAACGCUUGAAUACAUUAGCAUGGAAUAAUGAAAUAGGACGUUCGAUCUUAUUUUGUUGGUUUCUAAGAUUGACGUAAUGAUUAAUAGG